rnacentral:rRNA from 1 species
UACGUAGGGGGCAAGCGUUGUCCGGAUUCAUUGGGCGUAAAGAGCGUGUAGGCGGCCAGGUAGGUCGGUUGUGAAAACUGGAGGCUCAACCUUCAGAGGUCGACCGAAACCAUCUGGCUAGAGUCCGGGAGAGGAGAGUGGAAUUCCUGGUGUAGCGGUGAAAUGCGCAGAUAUCAGGAAGAACACCCGUGGCGAAAGCGGCUCUCUGGAACGGUACUGACGCUGAGGCACGAAAGCCAGGGGAGCGAACGGG